rnacentral:rRNA from 1 species
AGAGUUUGAUUCUGGCUCAGGAUGAACGCUGGCGGCGUGCCUAACACAUGCAAGUCGAGCGAUUUACUUCGGUAAAGAGCGGCGGACGGGUGAGUAACGCGUGGGUAACCUGCCUCAUACACAUGGAUAACAUACCGAAAGGUAUGCUAAUACAGGAUAAUAUAAGAGAUUCACAUGGAUUUCUUAUACAAAGCUCCGGCGGUAUGAGAUCGGACCCGCGUCUGAUUAGCUAGUUGGUAAGGUAAUGGCUUACCAAGGCGACGAUCAGUAGCCGACCUGAGAGGGUGAUCGGCCACAUUGGAACUGAGACACGGUCCAAACUCCUACGGGAGGCAGCAGGUGGGGAAUAUUGCACAAUGGGCGAAAGCCUGAUGCAGCAACGCCGCGUGAGUGAUGAAGGCCUUCGGGUCGUAAAACUCUGUCCUCAAGGAAGAUAAUGACGGUACUUGAGGAGGAAGCCCGGCUAACUACGUGCCAGCCGCCGC